rnacentral:rRNA from 1 species
UACGUAGGGUGCAAGCGUUUAAUCGGAAUUACUGGGCGUAAAGCGUGCGCAGGCGGUUUUGUAAGUCUGUUGUGAAAUCCCCGGGCUCAACCUGGGAAUGGCAUGGAGACUGCAAGGCUAGAGUUUGGCAGAGGGGGGUAGAAUUCCACGUGUAGCAGUGAAAUGCGUAGAUAUGUGGAGGAACACCGAUGGCGAAGGCAGCCCCCUGGGUCAAAACUGACGCUCAUGCACGAAAGCGUGGGGAGCAAACAGG